GCGAAAGUGGUGGAAUUGGUAGACACGCAGGAUUUAGGAUCCUGUGGGAGCAAUCCUGUAGGGGUUCAAGUCCCCUCUUUCGCACCA
rnacentral:tRNA from 1 species